rnacentral:rRNA from 1 species
GAUGAACGCUGGCGGCGUGCCUAAUACAUGCAAGUCGAGCGAAUGGAUUAAGAGCUUGCUCUUAUGAAGUUAGCGGCGGACGGGUGAGUAACACGUGGGUAACCUGCCCAUAAGACUGGGAUAACUCCGGGAAACCGGGGCUAAUACCGGAUAAUAUUUUGAACUGCAUGGUUCAAAAUUGAAAGGCGGCUUCGGCUGUCACUUAUGGAUGGAACCGCGUCGCAUUAGCUAGUUGGUGAGGUAACGGCUCACCAAGGCAACGAUGCGUAGCCGACCUGAGAGGGUGAUCGGCCACACUGGGACUGAGACACGGCCCAGACUCCUACGGGAGGCAGCAGUAGGGAAUCUUCCGCAAUGGACGAAAGUCUGACGGAGCAACGUCGCGUGAGUGAUGAAGGCUUUCGGGUCGUAAAACUCUGUUGUUAGGGAAGAACAAGUGCUAGUUGAAUAAGCUGGCACCUUGACGGUACCUAACCAGAAAGCCACGGCUAACUACGUGCCAGCCGCCGCCGUAA